GUGCUUGCAUCAUGAUUUACAUUUGAGUGAGUGGCGAACUGGUGAGUAACACGUGGGAAACCUGCCCAGAAGCGGGGGAUAACACCUGGAAACAGAUGCUAAUACCGCAUAACAACUUGGACCGCAUGGUCCGAGUUUGAAAGAUGGCUUCSGCUAUCACUUUUGGAUGGKCCCGCGGCGUAUUARCUARAUGGUGRGGUAACGGCUCACCAUGGCAAUGAUACGUARCCGACCUGAGAGGGUAAUCSGCCACAUUGGGACUGAGACACGGCCCAAACUCCUACGGGAGGCAGCAGUARGGAAUCUUCCACAAUGGACGAAAGUCUGAUGGAGCAACGCCSCGUGAGUG
rnacentral:rRNA from 1 species